CUACGGGAGGCUGCAGUGGGGAAUAUUGGACAAUGGGCGAAAGCCUGAUCCAGCCAUGCCGCGUGUGUGAAGAAGGCCUUCGGGUUGUAAAGCACUUUCAGUGGGGAAGAAAGCCUUGGGGCUAAUACCCUCGAGGAAGGACAUCACCCACAGAAGAAGCACCGGCUAACUCCGUGCCAGCAGCCGCGGUAAUACGGAGGGUGCGAGCGUUAAUCGGAAUUACUGGGCGUAAAGCGCGCGUAGGCGGUCUGAUAAGCCGGUUGUGAAAGCCCCGGGCUCAACCUGGGAACGGCAUCCGGAACUGUCAGGCUAGAGUGCAGGAGAGGAAGGGAGAAUUCCCGGUGUAGCGGUGACAUGCGUAGAGAUCGGGAGGAAUACCAGUGGCGAAGGCGGCCUUCUGGACUGACACUGACGCUGAGGUGCGAAAGCGUGGGGAGCAAACAGGAUUAGAUACCCUUGUAGUC
rnacentral:rRNA from 1 species